rnacentral:rRNA from 1 species
CCUACGGGAGGCAGCAGUCGGGAAUAUUGCGCAAUGGAGGAAACUCUGACGCAGUGACGCCGCGUGCAGGAAGAAGGUUUUCGGAUUGUAAACUGCUUUAGACAGGGAAGAUACAAGACAGUACCUGUAGAAUAAUCUCCGGCUAACUACGUGCCAGCAGCCGCGGUAAU